CAGUCUUUCUCUUCCGUAACCAAAAAUUCCUCAAAAAAAUCUUGGCAGCAACAGCGAAAAUGGAGACUAGUACCUUUAUCUCAGUUCCCGUUGAGGCGAAGAAACAUGAGAGCAGCAAAUUUAAGAAAAGAAAGCAAUACCUGGAUGCCAAGAUUGGCACAGAUGACUCAGCUUCCAAAAAGCCGAAGCUUGUUACCUCCAAUACCCAGAAGAGAUUGAAGAAACCUUUCAAGCCCUCUAAAAAACCGCAGAAGCUGAAUGUAUUUGAGUUGAGAAAAUCAGAAUCCUGUAAAGAGAAGCAUGCAACCAAAACAAAGCAAGAGCGUUGACUUCAUCCCAAGAAUCUCAUUGACAUAUGUAUUGAGAAUGCAGGAGGAGAGUUGCUAUGAUCAAAUUUUAGCAAAGAAGUCUUGUAUCAGGUUGCAACUUGGGGUGCUGGUGGCAUUCUCCAUCCAAUGUUCAAUAAUAUGAAGAGGAGCAGUCCUAGAAAAUUUUCACGCCAGUGGAACUAUUCGAAAAUCAAUCAUGGAUAGCCCUAAGUUUGCUGCUCGUUUAUGGAUGAAAGCUUUGAAAGGGAAAUGUGGGUUAUGGGCCCAAGGUCACAGUUCUAAAGUAAUAUGUGCAUUCUUGGAAUCCUCGGAUGCCAAAAUUUGUAAACUAGCCAGUGAAGAGCUUCAGCCAUUGAUAGAUAGUGGUAUUCUCAAAAAACCUGAAAACAAGCUACCAGGAAAGAAGGGCGGGUUGCUUGUGAAGGAUGCAAUUAUUUUUGCAAGAAGGGAUGGGCAUAGCUUCUGUUGGAUCACUGAUUGAAUUAAAUUAAAUUUGUUUUUCAUCUCAGCCAAGAA